rnacentral:rRNA from 1 species
CACGUAGGGACCAAGCGUUGUCCGGAUUCAUUGGGCGUAAAGGGCUCGUAGGCGGUUUGUCGCGUCGGGAGUGAAAACACCGGGCUUAACUCGGUGCUUGCUUUCGAUACGGGCAGACUAGAGGCAUGCAGGGGAGAACGGAAUUCCUGGUGUAGCGGUGAAAUGCGCAGAUAUCAGGAGGAACACCGGUGGCGAAGGCGGUUCUCUGGGCAUGUCCUGACGCUGAGGAGCGAAAGUGUGGGGAGCGAACAGG